rnacentral:misc_RNA from 1 species
GAUGAAGAACGUAGCGAAAUGCGAUAAGUAAUGUGAAUUGCAGAAUUCAGUGAAUCAUCGAAUCUUUGAACGCACAUUGCGCCCGCCAGCAUUCUGGCGGGCAUGCCUGUUCGAGCGUCAUUUCAACCCUCGACCUCCCCUUGGGGAGGUCGGCGUUGGGGACCGGCAGCACACCGCCGGCCCUGAAAUGGAGUGGCGGCCCGUCCGCGGCGACCUCUGCGUAGUAAUACAGCUCGCACCGGAACCCCGACGCGGCCACGCCGUAAAACACCCAACUUCUGAACGUUGACCUCGAAUCAGGUAGGACUACCCGCUGAACUUAAGCAUAUCAAUAAGCGGAGGA